rnacentral:rRNA from 1 species
UCUUUAAGAAAGUAAGACCCCUGAAAGAUGAUCAGGUAGAUAGGCUAGAAGUGGAAGUGCAGUGAUGUACGGAGCGGACUAGUACUAAUCGGUCGAGGACUUAACCAAA